rnacentral:ribozyme from 1 species
UGGAGAAAAUAGUUCAGCUAGGCUAAUACUACCUCUGCUCAUGUCAUUUACAUUUUUUCUUUUUCUUUUUUUUUUUAUUA